rnacentral:tRNA from 1 species
GGCACCGUGGCCGAGUUGGAAAGGCGACGGUUUUAAGGACUCGCUUCUUCGGGAAUCCACCGUUACUCUUAACGAGUGCGCAGGUUCGAGUCCUGUCGGUGCUA